rnacentral:tRNA from 1 species
CCUCUGGUAGUCUAAUGGUUAGGAUGCGGCGCUCUCACCGCCACAGCCCGGGUUUGAUUCCUGGUCAGGGAA